rnacentral:rRNA from 1 species
UACGAAGGGGGCUAGCGUUGCUCGGAAUCACUGGGCGUAAAGCGCACGUAGGCGGCUUACUAAGUCAGGGGUGAAAUCCUGGAGCUCAACUCCAGAACUGCCUUUGAUACUGGUGAGCUUGAGUCCGGGAGAGGUGAGUGGAACUGCGAGUGUAGAGGUGAAAUUCGUAGAUAUUCGGCGGAACACCAGUGGCGAAGGCGACUCACUGGCCCGAUACUGACGCUGAGGCGCGAAAGCGUGGGGAGCAAACAGG